rnacentral:rRNA from 2 species
CAGCCAUGCCGCGUCAGUGAUGAAGGCCUUAGGGUCGUAAAGCUCUUUCGCCUGUGAAGAUAAUAACGGUAGCAGGUAAAGAAACCCCGGCUAACUCCGUGCCAGCAGCCGCGGUAAUACGGAGGGGGUUAGCGUUGUUCGGAAUUACUGGGCGUAAAGCGCACGUAGGCGGAUCGGAAAGUUGGGGGUGAAAUCCCGGGGCUCAACCCCGGAACUGCCUCCAAAACUAUCGGUCUAGAGUUCGAGAGAGGUGAGUGGAAUUCCGAGUGUAGAGGUGAAAUUUGUAGAUAUUCGGAGGAACACCAGUGGCGAAGGCGGCUCACUGGCUCGAUCCUGACGCUGAGGUGCGAAAGUGUGGGGAGCAAACAGGAUUAGAUACCCUGGUAGUCCACACCGUAAACGAUGAAUGCCAGUCGUCGGAUAGCAUGCUAUUCGGUGACACACCUAACGGAUUAAGCAUUCCGCCUGGG